rnacentral:rRNA from 1 species
UACGUAGGUGACAAGCGUUGUCCGGAUUUACUGGGCGUAAAGAGCGCGCAGGCGGUCGUUCAAGUCGAGUGUGAAAGCCCCCGGCUCAACUGGGGAGGGUCACUCGAUACUGAUCGACUCGAAGGCAGGAGAGGGUAGUGGAAUUCCCGGUGUAGUGGUGAAAUGCGUAGAUAUCGGGAGGAACACCAGUGGCGAAGGCGACUACCUGGCCUGUUCUUGACGCUGACGGCGCGAAAGCUAGGGGAGCAA